rnacentral:piRNA from 1 species
UGUGCUAACCUUAAGUGUUCAGGUCGAUUA